GAUUAGGCUUGGAUCUGGCAUUGCUGUGGCAAAGGCCAACAGCACAACUCCAAUCUGACCCCUAGCCUGGAAACUUCCAUAUGCUGUGGGUGUGGCCCUAAAAAAAAAUAAUAAUGCUUUAUUACAAUAAGAGGAAAAGGAUUGAAGAAAGACUAAGGAGUAUUCAGUUAUCAUUUGUUCCUUUAUUCACUCAGACAAUAAUGAGUGAACACCUUCUGUGAACCAGGCACUGUGUAUGGAGACUGUUGAAUAAGCAUGGCCCCUUCCCUUGCGGCCCUUGCAGCAAAAUGCGUAUGUGGCAUUCAGGUAAGGUCUGAAGACAGAAUAAGAUGGGAUCUCUUUCCAGAACAGGAGGUGUAAUUGGUAAAGUCACUUGGGAGAUAAGACUGUGCAUAAAAACUACUGCAGUGCAUUUACACCUUAAAGGUUGUAAGCUGCAGUUUUUAACCAUGGUAUCCUACUGUUUAUUGUGGGAGGAGGAAGAGCUGGCUUUACAGUGCUGGGUGCCCUGAAUGAUUCCCAUUCUGGCUUGUGUAUGCAUGAUACUGAUGGGAAUGGGCUCAUAUGAACAGCAUCUGGAAGAUAAAGUUUGCCUAGCCUGAUAUAGACCAUAAAUGCUAUUAUAAUUUAAAGAAGAGAGAAUGACUGUGGGCCCCAGGAGUGGUCAGGGAAAGGUUUGUAAAGGCCACAGCGAUUGAAUUGGACUUUUAUAGCUUUUUACUAGGUGGAGUUCCUUUGUUUUAUUCUUUUUAGGUGCCAAGUACUGUUUUAAAUUUGGAGGCUAGAGUAAUAACACAAGACCCCUACUCUCAUAGAGCUUACAGUUUAGGGGUAGGGAGCAGAAAAUAGAGACAUUUGUAAGAUUAUUUCCCAUAGUGUUAAAUACUAUGAAAACAGUGAGAAAAUAAGAGUAGUGGGGGGGCCACUGCUGGUGGUGUUGAGUCUUUACUUUGGACAGGAGGGAAAACCAUUUCUGAGGUUACACUUUGAAUGAAACCUGAGUAUUGGAAAGGAGCUGGUCAUCCAGCAGUCUGGAAAGAAUUAAUGGACAAAGCAUAAAGAUGAGAUGAUGUAUUCUCUGGGAGUUUAUCCAUUAAAGAGCUGUCUACCUCAUAAGCGAAUGAAAGGAGCAGGAGACUGAGAAGUGUAGGUUACUGCCAAAUUAUGGAGGGUCCUGAAUGUCAGAAUAAGGCAAGAUAAAGGACUAUAUGUUUCUCUGAUUACAUCAGGGGAUGAAUAGUUAGAAGACGAGAGGAGAAUCAGGAUGAGUAUAUGGAAGGGUAAGGAAGCAUGUGUAGCCAGGAACUUGUGGAUUCUAGUUCAUGUGACCUAUGGCAAGUGGCACCUAAAUACUGUAGUGUUCCAGUCACUUCCUGUUGGAAGUUGAGUUAGUCCUAAAAUGAGGCAUACUUAGUUGACUAUUUUAAAUGAGGGGGAUAUGGAAUUGUCCUACAAAUGAGAUCACUGAGGCCUUGACAGAGCUAAGCUACAACCCAGUGUCAGGGACUAGACUUAUCAAGGUAAUGUUUUCUAAGUCCCGUAUGAUAUAACACGUUCCUUCUGCAGUAAUUCCUCUUGGAACCAAAAACUAAUUGUAUUUUUAUUAAUGUAAAGGGGCAGUCUUUAUAUUAUAGAAUUUUUUUGUGAAAGAAAAAGGUUAGAGUUAAGGUUUGAUUCAGUCCAAGUUGAUAGAUAAAAAGAGGUGUGUUAAAGCGUCUUUUUUGGAAUAACUACACCUUAUUUACUAAAGGAAAAAUUGUCCCAAAUGUUGAUACAGUUCUCUAGAGAAAGGAAUUCCUGGCAGUGAUUGAGAAACACAGUAAUGGGGACUGCACUUGAUUGCUUUUGAGGUUGAUUCUGAUGUGUGUAGUCUUUACAUCCUAUUAAAACUUUGCAAGAUAAACUGAUACAAGAAUGAUUUGCCAAGACCAGAAACUCUUUUUUUAAAACCUUGGCUCAGAGUACACAUUGAAGGGUUGGGGGAGUAAGAUAAAAGCAUUAUAAAUAUGAGGUUAACUGAAUUCAAAUAGAAGGUUCUCUCAAGUUAUUGCAUUCCUUAGAAAAUAAAUACAUUGUGCAUAUGGUUCAGAUUGAUCAAAAAAGUAUUCUGUAUGCCUGUGAUUACAUUCCCAUCUGUGAUUAAGGUUUUCUGUCUGCAUCUGGUUUUCACAUUAUAUUUUUGUAACAAGAAUCCUUUAUAUAGCAGAGUUCACUUUCUGUAUUUUCUAUUAGCUGCAGCUUGAACUACUGCACGGAUCGCAGAUUUACACAUGUGGUUUUCAUUACUUCAUACCAUUGAGAAAAAGUAAUAUUUGUUUGGGAAUGUAUGUUUUCCACAAUUUCCAUGGUAAUACAACAUGUUGAGCCUUUUUAAUAACACUCUUGUAGAACUACAAAUUGUUUGAGGCAUUCUACUUUCGGUAGAGUUUAGCUUUUAAACUUUUCUCUGUAUAUGUUACUCUCCUAAUGAGGUUUUACAGACUUGAGGGAUGAGGAUUGGAACAUGGCAAUUAUUAAAGAUAGAGAAAUUUUACUUUCUGUUGCAUGUGAUACAGACUUUAGUGUGGAAUAAGUAUCAAAUAUCUGAAUGUAUAUUCAAUAAUGCCCAUUACCAUUACUCAUUAUUUCAUAUCAGAAGGCCAUUUACUGUGUUGGUGUCAUGAAGCACAUCAUAGUACUCCAAAGUCAUUAUUUUGUUAAAUCCAAGCAUAGCCUCCCCCUUUUUUUUCCGAAGUUAUCCUAUUGACUGUGAUACAAUAUUUCAAACAUAAAAAUAGUUCGGUUGGGAAAAUCCUCAUGGGCAACUUUAGGUUUACCUUGUGUAUUACGUGAAUGUAUAUAUUUGUAUCCCAUGUUAACAUUUAAGAGUUUAUAAACAUGCAUUUAAAAUAUUUUGUAACAUUAUCUUUCUGCCAGCUUUUCUCCUUUCACUUCAGGAUACUCUGAUUAAAAUAGACACAAAUGAAGUUAAAGAGUGAAAUGGUAUAUUCUAUAUUUGUAUUGAGGCAUCAUUUAUGGUUGAGGAAUUUAUCUUUUAAAGGAAGUUUAUCCAUAUGGUAAUUUUGUGUGCCUCAAAACUGAGACCCAUUAUACCAUUUUUGUCAGUAAAUCCAGCCAUUAGUCGGAUAUUUAUCAGUCAUGAGAAGAAAGAAAUAGACUUAGACUCUAGGGGAUUUGUAUGUACUUGGCCUCCUUCAUUUAUUUGGUGGAGAUUAUUAAAUAUGGCCCACACAGGCAGGAUCUACUACAUCAGGCUCUCUGAUGCCUUUUGUGGAUGGUUGUUGAGGCACUAAAUAUUAUCAAGUACCAUGAUUGAAUCUGAGAAGUGUAUCCAUUUCCUUCUUUUUUUUUUUCCUAAUAAUAUUUGCUUAUCCUCUAGUUACAAAAUAAUUUUCGCCUCAGUAUAGAAACAUUGGAAAUAACAGAAUUGUGUAGCAAGUUACUUGUAUUUCUUGAAAUAAUAUUUAACACCUAAAUGUAUUUACUUCCAGUCUUCCUCAUUGGGCAUGCCGCCCCACCACCAGUAUAUGUGUAUUUAUGUAUGUGGAUAUAUAUCUGUUGUCUUGGUCAUUUUCUUAUUGAAAUUUUUUGGCUUAUCAUUUCUUAAUAAAAUUGUUAGGUUUCAUAGUAAACUGAGUGUUUCCAAGUUCUAGCUGAUUGUCUUUAAUGAUCUUUGCUAAGCUUCAAGAAAAUUUCCAACUAAGAAGUACCUGGUACUGUGUUUUUACGAAACAUUGCUUAUUUAAUUUUUGCCAUAAAUAAUGUGAAACAACUGAUUGAGUGAUAGCAGAGUCAUAAUAUGACAUAUAAAAGGCAUUCCUUUUUUUAUAGAAUUUGCUUGUUUAUAUAUGUCAGAAUAUAUAUAUCUACCAGUUGUAAUUUCUAGGGAGUAGUUUGGUCUCUUAAAAAAAUAACAGCAACAACCUUAGUAGUACACUUUUUUGAGACUGCUUUUACAAAUCUUUAUCCUUUGAAUUUAUCGAGUUACUGGUUUAUAUACAUAUGAUUGUGCUAGAGUUAUAUUUCAUAGAUUAUAAGGACUAAAUAGUGAUACUUGUUCUAUUCAUAAUAGUGGUGGUAGUAGUAAUAGUAUAAUAGGCAGGAAGUGUUUGAGAAUGAAUGAAUGAAUUCUAAACCUAUGAAUCAAACAGGAAAAAUGAGAAUAUUUGGAUUGCUUUAGAGGAAGAAAAUAAAGUAGUAGAGGUUUGUUUAUUUGGUAAAGUGAUUCAUCAAUAAUUGUUGUUACUAAUAUUUUCAUACUGGUUGGUUAUAUAAGGUUAGUGUUAUCAGUUGUUUCAAGCUAUUGUACCUAAUGAUAGAAAUGUGUAAAUUUCAGAACAGUGACACAACAUAAGACACUACUUUGUUUUGAAACAGGAUUUAACUUGUAUGUAAAAUUCCAAAAAAUAAACGUACAUAAUAUCUCAAAGCAUUUAAACUAUUUUUGAUAGGUUACUCAAUUUUUAAAAAUUUAACUUUUAUGUAAAAUUCCAAAAAAUAAAAGUACAUAAUAUCUCAAAGCAUUUAAACUAUUUUUUGAUAGGUUACUCAAUUUUUAAAAAUUGAAACAGGUAAAAUCUAAUAUAGUUUUUUAAGUUAUUGAUGUACAUAUGCUCUAAACCAAUUUAAGGAAAGAGGGUUUGAGUCCAGCUUUGAGUCAAAUGAUUGGAGAAUUAAGAGCCCUAUAGAGCACGUCAUUCUAUGAACUGAGAACAUGGGAAUUGUUUUGCAUUUUUCUGAAAUUUAGAAGAGCUUAUAUAUGUUUCUUAAAACAAAACUGGUCUAAUAAUAUCGUGUAAGUAGAUGGGUGCAGUACUUCAGACUGGUUGUGAUAUAUGCGUUUUUUUUCCCUUUGUUGUUGUCAAUAGAAAAGAUUGAUCUCUGGGCUGGUGAACAUAAUCUCUGUCCCAGUCAGAAAAGGAAAGAGGAAAUUAGCAGAGCGAUUGGUGGAGAAUGAUAUCUGUCAAAAGAAACACUUGGAGAGCACUGAGUUUAGUAAUAGGUGACUGCCGGAAAAAAGGGAACUUUGAAUAUUGUCAAGGUGCUCCCUAAGGCAUGAACCAGCUUGAAAAAGUAACAGAAGUAGACAUCUGUCUUGUAGAUUGGAGUGGCAGAAAGGAAAGUAACUGGUUACUUUAAAGCGGAAGAAUCCUAUUGCUGGCUUGGAACAUUACUAUCACUCUGGGAGUGAUGUGGAAGGUAAAUUGAAGAAGUUGGAAUCAACAGUUAGCCCAGUGAGACAGGAUGAUGAUUGGCUGCAGUGUCACUGAGAAAGCAGAGGGGACUGGGAGCAGCAGGCUGUAGAGACACUAACUAAAGGGAACCAAAGGGCCCUAGUACUUCAGCUGGGGAAUGUGUAGUUGUGUCUAGGAUGGCUCUGAAUUCUUAUUUGGGCAACUGGCUGCCAUCAACCAGAAUAGUAAAUAAUUCAUCAAGAGAGGACAGCGAGUUCACUUUGAAGCAUUAACUUUCAGCUUUAUCUGUUAUAUGACUGCUGAGAUAUUCCAGAGGGAGCUAGAGUAUAGGUUUCUUGAGUAGAUAUGUAUAUACUGGAAAUCUCAAUUUGAAGUCAGUGGUGAUAGCUAAAAGCUUUGGGUGACUCACUCAGGAGGACAGUGUAUGGUGCCUAGAGGAAUGCCGUGAAAAGAACACUGGCACCUGAGAGAGUCGGGUUAAAUCAGGUGGCAAAAAGUUUCAUGGAGGGAGUGGUUUACAGUGUGAGAUGCCUCGGAGGUGCCAAGACUUGCCUUUUGGAUCUGGCCGUCUGGAAGGAAGAGGGUUACUAGUGAACAAACCUCUGUCCCUUUGUUGGUGCUUGUUUGUGGUGAGUUGCAAGGGGAAUGAAAGAGGUGAUGCAGUCUACCCUUAUGGAACGAUGGAGGGAAUACCAUCUAUACGGAAGGAGGGGUUUGUUCUUGGUGUGUGUGGGGUGGGGGGAAUUAGACAUGUUCAGCUUCUUAGAAGGAGCGGGUUGAGUCAGACAAGCUGAAGUUAAGAAGAGGGUAGAGGGACUGGUAGAGUGAAGCCCCGGGAGGUGGAAGUUGCCUCUUCAGAAACUCAAGUUGCAGGUGCCGAUAAGCAAGGGUUCUGACCUUGAGGUUUGGAGGGAUUUAUAUAUGAUAAUCUCACUGUAUUUGCUUAAAUAGGGCAUGAGGUUAUCAGAAUUUGGCUGGGGGAUUGAGGCAGUCAGAAUUUGGCUGGGGGUUUGAGGCAAAUUGAAUGACGUUUUCAGGAUUAAUUAAUACACCAUUAUUUUUCACUCUUUUUUGCCUCAUCUUGUCUGGGGGCCUACCAGGCUGGAGAAACUCAGUCAAUCUCAGAUUCAGCAGUCAUCAGGCUCAUUCAUUCUGGAAAGCCUUCUUUAUUUUCUCUGUCCAGUUUAUAGCUUUUCCUCUUUGCUUUAUCAUACUGCCCAUCUAACCUUGACCUUUGCAUGAACUCAUGGUUAUUAACCCUCCCUUUGUGUUUCUGGUUCAUGACACCUCCUUGUUUCUUUUCUUACUGAUUUCAUAACUAGUUUCACAUUCUGUUGUUGCCCCUUUUAAAGUUAGAAUUACAUCUUUAGAAUUCCAUUUUAACAGAUCUUUUGGAGUUGUUCUGUGACAGACACUGUGCUAGAGCUGGGAUAGAACAGUACUCUGUGGUGGGAGCCCCUUAAACUCCAAGGAAAAGGAUAUAAAAGAAUUUUGAGUUUUCCAAGUGUCAUGAAGGAAACAGAGGUGGAAAACCUGCUUGCAAUUGGAUAGCCAGGGACGGAUUGAUGCCCUGAGGUGACAGUGAUGUUGAAAUAGAAAAGGUGAAAAUAAGCAGCUGCCUGUCUGUAGAAGCAGAAUGAAAAUGGUAACUUUCUAGUAUUUAUCAUAUUCAUAAAUAGACAUUCUAUAGACCUUGGAUUAUUUCUAUGAGUAGGUAAGUGCCUGUCCUUCCCACUUCCUUGGUUCCUAACAACCCUAUAUAAGACCUAGAAGGGUUUAAUCCUUCAAGUUAAGGUAGAGAAGGACCAUGUUUGUUUGUUCAUUGAAGGCUGUUACCUGGGAAUGCAUAUAGUAAUAUAUUUAGGGUGGGGCAGAAGGGAGGUAUUAGAUAGCUAUAUUCCCUCCACUCAAUUGCAUGGUUUUAUCUUUCUGCAUUUCCUCUACCCUUCACUAUUCCCCUCAAGUCAGGUAAUUCUGUUCACAAAACAAGGAAAAAGGGUGUGUGUGUGUGUUUAUGGAGCCACCAUUAUUAGUCACCACCCCUAUAUGCAUUCGUUUAAAUGAUCACUGCAACUUUUGUCUCAGAAGUAGACAUUUGGAACAGAUCUCAGGCUCCGGACGUUGAGUCUAGAUGGGUGUCACAAUUUACUAUCUUUAGUUAAGGGUUAGGAUAAGAGUUCCAGAUUUCUUGUGGGUGAGGAAUAGUGGGAGGUACUUACUGAAAGGAAGGAGAACAGGGAGGCACUGAAGAUAAACUUUGCUGACUUCAUAAUUUUGCCUAGAGUCAGGCCAAGUAGACAUAAAAUAUUAUCUUGUAGGGCAAAAGCUUGUGUUUUCUUUCACAUCUAAGCUCGUACAAGUAAAUUAUUGUUUUUCAGAGGAAGAAGAUGAAGAGUGUAUGAAAUGUUUUAUUAGGCUGCAGUAACUUCCCUGAGCUAUCCUGGGCAGUGAUUUUGAGAUGGGAAAUGCACUGGUUUGACCCCUCAGAACAGAGGUUCCCAGCAUUUUUUUCUUGCUGCUGCUCAAAGAAUUACAGUAUUUACACAAACAGUGGAUUUCUUUGGUGGUGUUGGCAUGUGUCAAAAAUUCUACUCCUUUGCUUUUUAAGGAAGUGGUAAUAGUGAUAUUAUCAUAGGGAUGAUUUUGAAUUUGUCCUAAUUUAAGUUGUUAGAACAAGUUAGUAAUAAUGUGGUGGAACCCUGAUUAAGAACAGCUUCCUUUGUAUUUAGACGCUUAUUUACUUUGUAAUUAGUUUAUCUGACAGUGUAAAGAAGGUUGUGCUUUGGAAAAUGAUCUUAUAGCUCUCUAGCAAGCAACAUUU